UACGUAGGGGGCUAGCGUUGCCCGGAAUCACUGGGCGUAAAGGGCGCGCAGGCGGCCAUUCAAGUCAGAGGUGAAAGCCCAAGGCUCAACCUUGGAAUUGCCUUUGAUACUGUUUGGCUUGAGACCGGAAGAGGUUAGUGGAACUGCGAGUGUAGAGGUGAAAUUCGUAGAUAUUCGCAAGAACACCAAUGGCGAAGGCGGCUAACUGGUCCGGUUCUGACGCUGAGGCGCGAAAGCGUGGGGAGCAAACAGG
rnacentral:rRNA from 1 species